CCCAACUCGGCCUGAGGAACAUUUUAGAAGAGAAGGAGCUUUUACAGAUCAAGAAACUUUUAGAUUGAAGAAGCUGAAGAUGUCCACUUCUGUGUAAAUAACGUCCACAUCCACUCCUGAAGAUAAGAGAAGAACAGAUUUGAUUGAUCUGUCCAGGAUCUGUCCAGGAAACUCAUCUACUGGACUCUCUCUCUCCUCUCCUUCUAGACUGAUGAACUGGAAUUAACUGAUUAAUGAAACAGAUGAGGCAGAAGAACUGAAGACUUACCAGGUGGAUGAUCAGAGGGAGAUGAUGUUCUCCUCAGCAUGAUGGAGACGCAGCACAGAGCGGUGAUGAGUGUAAGGAACAUCGCCAUGACACCACACAACAGAAGGAAAACUUUCCUGUUCACUACACACACAACAAACCAGAAACAUCUCAUCAGGAACCGGAGCAGAACCUCAUCUCUAUCUCAUACCUUCACAUGCAGGUCGGUGGAAGAAUCGUGUGGACGUAAUGAGCACUCAGUGGUAGAAGGUUUAACUUCAGCAAACGACUGACAGACAGAGAGAAGAUCAGGACUGGAGAGAUGACGACGAUCUGUG